AAUGGAAAUUGGAAUGGUGGAUUAUUUUGAUUUCGGAGGAGGAAGAGGAGAACAGCUCAGAGGAAGGAAUUUGGAACUUCGAGGAACAAUAAUGAACUAAAAUUGCGGUGUUCUCUCCAUCAACUUUUGGAGCCAUCCCAAGAACAAGUGUGUCAAGUAAUUCCACUUAAGCGCAAAAUGACAUGUGGACGAUUUUUAGCCUCGCUUGGUUGAUCCGAUCGACGUAGGAGAAUAUAGAAAUAGAAAAAUCCAGUUCCUUCCCAUGAUAUCAUUCAUUUCAUUCCCGAACACUUCUGAUCAAUCAUUAAUCUGAUCAUUACAGCACUGUAGGCCCUUACAUCCACUCCAAAGCUUGGUAACAUUAGUAUAGUGAGAUCAGAGGUAAUAUGUUAACCAACAAAAUAAAGAUAAAGUAUUCAUACCUAUAAUCAUCAGCAGCAACUCCGAAGGAAUUCCAACCCUGCAUUUAUUAGGUGGCUAUAGGUGGGAGAAGCUUGAGUUUUGCAUUGCUGAAGUCUAAUUAGUCACCAAAUUAACCCCUUUUUUGGUAGGAGGGUUCAAGAGCGCAAGAAGUCAUACAAAUCAAUCAAAUAUGAUUCAUUUUCCUAUUUGUUCAUGUAUACAAUUGUAGCCAAAAUGGAACAGACACAUGAUACCAGUGAUUUUAAUUUUGUGAAGAACGACACCUCUAAGAUUCAGUUUAGAGAAAGAAGAAUGAAUGAUCUAUGUACGUUUAAACUAA